UACGGGAGGCAGCAGUGGGGAAUAUUGCACAAUGGGCGGAAGCCUGAUGCAGCGAUGCCGCGUGGAGGAAGAAGGUUUUCGGAUUGUAAACUCCUGAUCUGAGGGACGAUAAUGACGGUACCUCAGGAGAAAGCUCCGGCUAACUACGUGCCAGCAGCCGCGGUAAU
rnacentral:rRNA from 1 species